rnacentral:rRNA from 1 species
UACGUAGGGUGCAAGCGUUGUCCGGAAUUAUUGGGCGUAAAGAGCUCGUAGGCGGUUUGUCGCGUCUGCUGUGAAAACUGGAGGCUCAACCUCCAGCCUGCAGUGGGUACGGGCAGACUAGAGUGCGGUAGGGGAGAUUGGAAUUCCUGGUGUAGCGGUGGAAUGCGCAGAUAUCAGGAGGAACACCGGUGGCGAAGGCGGCAUCCUGGACCAAUAUUGACGCUGAGGAGCGAAAGCCAGGGGAGCAAACGGG